CUCAGAGCAGGUGAGAAGCUGGCUGAAUGCAUCUCAUUGAGAUGAUUUUGGGGAUGACAGGAUUGUUCAUAAAUUGAUUAUACAAAGAUCUUCCUUGAAUUUAGUCAGAACAAGCAGUUUUCAUAUUACCGGUUGCAAGCCUAACAGCAUUCCCUGAAAAAACACUCUAUUUUUUGGUUGCUGGUUUGCCAUGUAUCACAGAAUCACAGAAUGGUUUGAUUUGGGUUGGAAGGGACCUUAAAGAUGAUGUAGCGUCAAUGUAUCUUACAAAAGAGCACAUGACCUGUCUGCUGGAUUUCUUUAGUAGGGAGACAGAUGAAAGAACUGGAAAUUAGAACCUCUUGAGCUUUCCAUUCUCCAGCUUACUAACGCGGUUUCUUGGAAAACUAUUAUUGAAAGACCUGAAGCUUAGGAGUUUAGCAGAUACGAGAAACUUCCAGAGCAAAUGGUUGCAGAAUGGAGAAGGGAACAAGACUGAAGUCCUCAUGUAUGCUUUUUGUAAUCAAGCAAGUAUUUCUGCCCCUGGAAAAACUGUAUCUAAAACAAGGUCUUGAAACAGCUACUUUUCUUAUCUCCUUCGAAGCAUACUGUAUUCUAUAGCAUACCUAAAAGGCCACACCAAUCCUAGAUAUUAGAUCUUCAAAUCUUCUAUGCAUUCUUGGAUGGACCUCACUCAUAUAAGUCAUUCUUACUACAAAUUAAGGACAUACACAUUGGUAUUUGGUACCAAACCUGUAAUCAUCUUUGCUAAGCACAAGAAAACCCUUUUUCUUCACAUAAGAAAUUUGCCCUAAGUCCCUUGCAGCAUGUCAUGGUUAUGUAAGCAUAUAAUUACAAGACAAAACUACUGUUCCUUAGGAUUACUUCUUUAAAACAUUCUAGGAUUUUCCUCUUGCACAACAUACACUUAUUCCUUCUAGAAAAUCUAUCCAGAUUUGCACAUCUAUCCAAAUAUCCAUAGAGUGUUCCUGGUUAUCCACUUCUAAAGGAGAAUUAUGAAUGUAAACAAAGCCCUUACACUGCUGUUCUGACUACUACAAGCCAGACCAAAUAUGGGGGACUAUUGUAACUUAACCUCUAUAUUAACAGAGUCUUGUUGGAUUCUGUGUGUUCAUAACUUAUCUUUGGAAAAUAAUUUUUUGGUUUUUUGAGGCUUGGCUGUACAAUACAUGUUAAUGAUACUUUUCUCAUUCUGUAACAACCCUAACAUUUGUUGUUGUAAUUGUCAUUAUGUGAUAUAAAGAUCAACUGGUAUAAAGAUGUUUUUCAACAGUUGUAAUUACUUUAAAGGAUAUACUGUAAGGCUUUUGUCUGGAAGCAUUUAAAAGCUAAUAUAAACACACCAUUUAUUUUCAUCAAUCAUACUUGCUUCUUUUUCUUAGUGCUUUUCCUCUGUUUUAAUUUUUUGAACCUUUACUGUCAAUAACAACUUCUAAUUUUUCCUCUUUUUUUUCACUUCACAGAUCAAAUCUUUUUGAUCUUUUAAGGUUUUCAAGCAAUGUUCUGACAUGCACUCAAAAUCUCUUUAUACCACAGUCUCCCUAAAUUUAUUUUGUUCUUGAUUCAAAUAUAAACAACUAUGUUCCCUUUUGUUAUUUACAAUAUACUUAAAAAUAGCUUCAUGUGAGUGUGGCUAGUAUAUAUACUUCUUAUUCUCCCCCAGAUCUUCACAAACUGCAACAGUCCCCACAGUUUACUGAGAUCUGAGUUGACAGAAGUUGUCGUGGUUUUAAAUCUCAGAUAUAUGAGAAGGAGUACCACUUAAAUUAAAAUCAAACUGCUGUUCCAUGAGGGGGAUGUUCUGAUUUUCAAAUGCAUAAGACUUGUUGACAUGAUGACUAAAAUGCAUAGUCCUUUUUCAAAGCAUUUAAUCACUUCAUUAUAUACUUUUUCAUAUUGUAUUAGUUCUUUUUGAUGCUGUAAAUUAAUACAUGCAUAAAAGCAAGCUAUAGUCAGCUGGAAUGUCUAUUGCUAUCAUUAUUCAGAAAAAGGCAUACUCACCACCACAUUUAAUAGACCUUUGUCUGAAUAAAAGACAGAAAAAAAAAAUCCUUUUUUUUUUGCAACUUGUAAAAUCUUGGAGUCUUAAAUCUUCCCUCACUUGCAAGAGCAAGUUCUGAGAAUUUAAAUUGCAUCAACCUGAAAGAUACUGCAAAUACAAGUGCCUCCAUGUUUCUUUAGAGCUAUAGAACAAAAAUGAAAACACUAGCUCUAAAUAUUUCUUUCUAACAAUCUUUAGUGGUUGAUUAAAUAUUUGUGCUGUUCAAUAGCAGUUCUGUAGAAGCAGGCUCAAUGCUGAGAAACUCACUGAAGUGCAAGACAGAGUCUUAUCGUGGUGAAGUGUCGUUAAAUUCUGCUUAUUUAUAUGUGAGAAGGCAUGGAGCAGUAUGUACUGAAGCCCCAUCUCUUAGAAAAAGAUAAGAUUUAUUUUCACUAAGAAUUUCUUAAUUUGGAAAUAGUCUAUAAACAAAAACAAAUCUGGUGUGUGAGUUUUAACAUUAUUUUCCUCCCUCUGGAUAUACUUAUUUGCUUAGAGAAGUCUGUUUUUGCAGUGGGCACUAUGCUCCCCAGCCAUGACUUACUGAUGACCAGAUCACAGCCCACAGUCCUUGAUACAGACCAAGGAAGGAAAAUGUAUUUUAACAUGGAAAUGUCAAGAAAAGCUGUACUGGUUUACUGGUUUAUGACCUUUAAUAUAGCCUUAGAUUUGAAAAAUCUUUCUAAACUCCUACCCAUAUGCUCUGGCUUUUUGUAGUAAAGCAAAUGUUUGUGCUGCUGCUCAAUAUAAUCCCCUUUUCCCUUCUCCCACAUCUGCUACUGACCAGGCGUUUUCUUCCCUGAGAUGUGAGUGCUUAGUUUGAAAAAGACACAUCAUUUUUAAGACUAGAAGCUGUCAUUGUUAUUAAAACAUUUUACUCAGGGUCAAAAUUAGGGUUUAGGAAUCUUCCUCAGUGAUUUUGGGCAGCUGACUGAAUCCCUCCAAGCUUUGGUCUCCUAUUUGUAAAAGUGAAUAAUUAUAACGUUUAAUUUUAGGAGAAAAGUUUUGUUGCUUAUUUUGAUUGAAAGGUUUUCCCUUGCACAAUACUAGGAAAUAAUAUUAUCUCAUGAAUCUUCCACACAUUUCAAAUAAUGAAAAUAUUUUUAAAAAUAAGAAUACUGUCUCAAAAUGCUUUAAAAUUAAAUCAUACUUGAACUACUAUCUUUGGGGUUUGAAUAUGUUGUGUAUCUUCUGCUGUUUCAGUGUUUGUGGAGAGUGAAAUAAUAAAGUAGUUGAAUAAAAAGUACUAAAGCUU